GUGUUGAAUAUUAUAAACUUGCGAUAUCUAUAUUUCUACGAGGACCCAACCCUGCCUUCUCUUCUUCCUUAUUCCCAGUUUCCCACAGCUUGCGCGGUCUCACUCUCUCUCGGCGACGACUACGCCAAGGCCCAAGUGUGCCGAGGUAUUUUUUAGGCUCAGGUCGCUACCGCCCUACGGCCCCGGUCUUCUUCCGGCCCUUCGCCGGCGACGAGAACCAGCAGCAGACGGAUGGCUUCGUCGGUGCCGGCGCCAUCGGGGUCGGUGAUCACCGUGGCGUCGUCUUCUUCCUCAGCAGCCGCGGCCGCGGUGUGCGGCACGGGCUCCCCAUGCGCUGCGUGCAAGUUCCUGCGUCGCAAGUGCCAGCCGGACUGCGUGUUCGCGCCCUACUUCCCACCGGACAACCCGCAGAAGUUCGUGCACGUGCACCGCGUCUUCGGCGCGAGCAACGUGACCAAGCUGCUGAACGAGCUCCACCCCUUCCAGCGCGAGGACGCCGUGAACUCCCUCGCCUACGAGGCCGACAUGCGCCUCCGCGACCCCGUCUACGGCUGCGUCGGCGUCAUCUCCAUCCUCCAGCACAACCUACGACAGCUCCAGCAGGACCUCGCCCGCGCCAAGUACGAACUCUCCAAGUACCAGGCGGCAGCGGCAGCUUCUGCGUCCACGGCGCCGACAGGGCCGCAAGCGAUGGCAGAGUUCAUCGGCAACGCGAUGCCGAACGGCGCGCACAACUUCAUCAACAUUGGACACUCGGCGGCGCUCGGGUCCCUCGGAGGCUCCGCCUCCGUGUUCGGGCAGGAGCAGUUCGGCAACGCGCAGAUGCUGUCCAGGAGCUAUGACGGCGGCGAGCCCAUCGCGAGGCUGGGGAUCAACGGCGGCGGCUACGAGUUCGGCUACUCGACCGCGAUGGGCGGGUCUGGCGCUGUCUCCGGCCUCGGGACGCUCGGCAUCAGCCCGUUCUUGAAGUCUGGUACCGCCGGCGGCGACGAGAAGCCCAACGGCGGUCAGUAGGCGGAUCGAUCCAUCCACUCCCAUCAAUCUUGUCAGCCAGAGAGCACUCGAGCUCACUCAUAUAUAGCCAGCAUAUAUAGUUACUGAAUUGAAACGAGAAAAAAAAUCCAUAAAGUUCUGAAGACUAAGUGGAUCGAGCCUGCGCGCGCGAGGGUUGUCGUAAAAUGUCCACCGCUAUUAGGAGGGCUAAUGAUGAAUUCCCCGUCGAUUGUAGCUACAUGCAUGAAGGAGUACACACGCAUGCCUAUGUUGUUUGAAUUAAUCAAAUUGCUUGUUUGUUAGUAAUUAUAUUACCGCCUCCAACUAGGCUCCGAUCCGUACGUCCACAUGAUCAUCAGCUAUUUCAUGCAAGUGUCCUACUAUAUGUUGUUGCUGUUACUGAAACGCAUGCAUGCUUGUCCCGAACCCUCUUUUUCUUUUUUUUCUUUUUCUUUUUUUGGUCUCGCACUCGGACGGACGGACGACUAGCGCCCGUGUGUUUCUAGUUUUCUGCGCGCUCGCUUCUGCUGCUAGUGCUACUGCUCCAUGUGUAUUAUUAUUGCUAGGUUGGCUAUAUAUGCUACGAAGUUGACCUU